UACGAAGGGUGCAAGCGUUAAUCGGAAUUACUGGGCGUAAAGCGUGCGUAGGUGGUUCGUUAAGUCCGUUGUGAAAGCCCCGAGCUCAACUUGGGAAUUGCAGUGGAUACUGGCGAGCUGGAGUGCGGUAGAGGAAGGUGGAAUUCCCGGUGUAGCGGUGAAAUGCGUAGAGAUCGGGAGGAACACCAGUGGCGAAGGCGGCCUUCUGGACCAGCACUGACACUCAAGCACGAAAGCGUGGGGAGCAAACAGG
rnacentral:rRNA from 1 species